CACGCAUCAGAUGAUGAGAUUUUAACAGAUAGAUUACCAUACGGGGCUUUUACCCAUGCUGUUUUGCUCAUGUACAUUCAGUACACAGAUCUUUACCAAAAUUUUUCUGAUCGCUCUUGUCCAAAACAGCUUCUCGAUUUAGAUGUUUAUGUGAAGAUUACAACCUUUGUCAAAGAUUAUCUUCGUUUGUUCCACUCAGCUGACUUAAGAAUUCCAGAAUUCGUUGUCCAGAAAUUACCUCAGGAGGUUCGAAGAUAUAUCGAAAGAUAGAACUUUGUAUAUAUUAUGAAUUAUCUCUACUCGUUAUUUAUUGAAAUUAAAUAUUUUU